rnacentral:rRNA from 1 species
CUGGCUCAGGAUGAACGCUAGCGAUAGGCUUAACACAUGCAAGUCGAGGGGCAGCACGGUGUAGCAAUACACUGGUGGCGACCGGCGUACGGGUGCGUAACACGUAUGCAACCUACCCGCUAGUGGGGGAUAACCCGGCGAAAGUCGGACUAAUACCCCAUAUUAUUCUUACCGGGCAUCCGGUAGGUCUGAAAGAUUUAUCGAUUGCGGAUGGGCAUGCGGAUGAUUAGCUAGUAGGUGGGGUAACGGCUCACCUAGGCGACGAUCAUUAGGGGUUCUGAGAGGAAGGUCCCCCCACACUGGAACUGAGACACGGUCCAGACUCCUACGGGAGGCAGCAGUGAGGAAUAUUGGUCAAUGGGCGCUAGCCUGAACCAGCCAAGUCGCGUGAAGGAUGAACCAGAUCUAUGGUUUGUAAACUUCUUUUGCAGGGGAGUAAAGUGCGACACGUGUGUUGUAUUGCAAGUACCCUGCGAAUAAGCAUCGGCUAACUCCGUGCCAGCCGCCGC